UACGUAGGGUGCAAGCGUUGUCCGGAAUCACUGGGCGUAAAGGGCGCGUAGGCGGCCUGAUAAGUAGGGGGGUGAAAUCCUGCGGCUUAACCGCAGGGCUGCCUUCUAAACUGUCAGGCUAGAGCACGGUAGAGGCAGAUGGAAUUCCCGGUGUAGCGGUGGAAUGCGUAGAGAUCGGGAAGAACAUCAGUGGCGAAGGCGGUCUGCUGGGCCGUUGCUGACGCUGAGGCGCGACAGCGUGGGGAGCAAACAGG
rnacentral:rRNA from 1 species